rnacentral:miRNA from 1 species
AGGAGGUCGUAUGUCAUGCAGA